rnacentral:rRNA from 1 species
UACGUAGGGUGCGAGCGUUGUCCGGAAUUAUUGGGCGUAAAGAGCUCGUAGGCGGUCUGUCGCGUCGAUCGUGAAAACUUGGGGCUUAACCCUGAGCUUGCGGUCGAUACGGGCAUGACUGGAGUUCGGCAGGGGAGACUGGAAUUCCUGGUGUAGCGGUGAAAUGCGCAGAUAUCAGGAGGAACACCGGUGGCGAAGGCGGGUCUCUGGGCCGUAACUGACGCUGAGGAGCGAAAGCAUGGGGAGCGAACAGG